rnacentral:misc_RNA from 1 species
GUGAUAUAGAAAAUCUAUUUUUCUAGUCAACUAUUACACCCUUUUGUCAACUAUACCAUUGUUGCUUCCACUGGACAGACUUCGGUCCUCUGGCUCACUGCAAGGUGAAGCUGGGGAGUGCUGGUGGAAAGAAUUUAAACUCGUCUUUAGAAAAACUUGUCUGACAAACUUAUUUUUUAAUAAAAUA